AUCCGGGUUGCGGACAGUGUCUGGUGGGUAGUUUGACUGGGGCGGUCUCCUCCUAAAGAGUAACGGAGGAGCACGAAGGUUAGCUAAUCCUGGUCGGACAUCAGGAGGUUAGUGCAAAGGCAUAAGCUAGCUUGACUGCGAGCGUGACGGCGCGAGCAGGUGCGAAAGCAGGUCUUAGUGAUCCGGUGGUUCUGAAUGGAAGGGCCAUCGCUCAACGGAUAAAAGGUACUCCGGGGAUAACAGGCUGAUACCGCCCAAGAGUUCAUAUCGACGGCGGUGUUUGGCACCUCGAUGUCGGCUCAUCACAUCCUGGGGCUGAAGUAGGUCCCAAGGGUAUGGCUGUUCGCCAUUUAAAGUGGUACGCGAGCUGGGUUUAGAACGUCGUGAGACAGUUCGGUCCCUAUCUGCCGUGGGCGCUGGAGAACUGAGGGGGGCUGCUCCUAGUACGAGAGGACCGGAGUGGACGCAUCACUGGUGUUCGGGUUGUCAUGCCAAUGGCACUGCCCGGUAGCUAAAUGCGGAAAAGAUAAGUGCUGAAAGCAUCUAAGCACGAAACUUGCCCCGAGAUGAGUUCUCCCUGACCCUUUAAGGGUCCUGAAGGAACGUUGAAGACGACGACGUUGAUAGGUCGGGUGUGUAAGCGUAGCGAUACGUUGAGCUAACCGGUACUAAUGAACCGUGAGGCUUAACCUUACAACGCCGAAGGUGUUU
rnacentral:rRNA from 1 species